GGACGUGGAGGUGGGAGCGCUAAGACACAGGAUGUGGAAAUGGGGGAAAGAAGAGCACGUGGGAGCGUCUGGGGCCGGCGUUGCUUGCUUUGGGGUCUUCACCAGCGUGAAGAACACCCCACUGAGGAGGCCACGGGAACUGCCGCAGCUGGGGGAUCUGCUCUCCCAGGAGUGGGGCUGGGGCCGGCGCCGGGUACUAAGAUCGAGGCAGGCCGUCUUCAGGAUGGGCACCCCUCUCCGCUUGCAGCCACGCCUGGGGGGUCCUCAAAAUUCUGGACACCGUGGGGCCAGAGAGGUCCCCCCCCACAGUGGACAAGCGGCCUAGUGCCGAGGCCUGGGCUGGGGUCUCCGCCCGAGGCACGCGGGGGCUGCUCUGCUGGCUCUAGGGGCCUCCGGCUUCCCGGCUGGCACAGAAUGCAGGACUGGCAGGGAGGGGUGAGGGCACAAGGUCACCGGCCCGGGCGGGUGAAGAUGCCAAUGCUGGGGCCACAGCCCCGCUGCCCUCUGGACCCGUCUCGGCACCGCCACACGUGCAUCAGGUCCCAACGGGGGGCAAACUGCGCUAACGCGACCCGCCGUGCCGCGACCCGGGGGAGUUUUCCAAAGGGAAACACAACGUGCCAGUCCUCCCACAAGCUGUCCUCGACCCACGGGACCUGCCCUCGUCUCCGUCACGCCAGCCGGCGGGUCCCUGGCACGGACACUCAUGACUUACGGGAAGGUCCCACUGAGCGGGGUGAGGCCUGCAGACCGGCCUGCAUUUUCGGGGUCCUGGAAAGGUGCCCCCAGCAUGACCGCACAGUGCCCACGGCGCCGGCCAGCUGGUACGGACCUGUCCCCGCGGUGAAACGAUCCCCGGCAACCUACCCAACAGCGCAGUGA
rnacentral:lncRNA from 12 species